GUGCUCGCUUCAGCAGUACAUAUACUAAAAUUGGAACGAUACAGAGAAGAUUAGCAUGGCCCCUGUGCAAGGAUGAUGCCCAGAUUCAUGAAGCGUUCCCUAUUUGU
ensembl:snRNA U6 U6 spliceosomal RNA